AACGAACGCUGGCGGCAUGCCUAACACAUGCAAGUCGAACGAGACCUUCGGGUCUAGUGGCGCACGGGUGCGUAACGCGUGGGAACCUGCCCUUAGGUUCGGAAUAACUCCCCGAAAGGGGUGCUAAUACCGGAUAAUGUCUUCGGACCAAAGAUUUAUCGCCUUUGGAUGGGCCCGCGUUGGAUUAGCUAGUUGGUAGGGUAAAAGCCUACCAAGGCGACGAUCCAUAGCUGGUCUGAGAGGAUGAUCAGCCACACUGGGACUGAGACACGGCCCAGACUCCCACGGGAGGGAGCAGUGGGGAAUAUUGGACAAUGGGCGAAAGCCUGAUCCAGCAAUGCCGCGUGAGUGAUGAAGGCCUUAGGGUUGUAAAGCUCUUUUACCCGGGAUGAUAAUGACAGUACCGGGAGAAUAAGCUCCGGCUAACUCCGUG
rnacentral:rRNA from 1 species